rfam:Veillonella sp. oral taxon 780 str. F0422 ctg1127947897851, whole genome shotgun sequence.
GAACCUUUUAAAUUAGUCCUGUGAGGCUAGUAAGGGAACGUAGUAGGAGUACUUUACCUAUAUCUAUAGGUGUGCUCUAUAAUAGAAUCACUAUAACUAUGCGACCUCUUGCCUUACGGCAAGGGGUCUUUUUGCG